rnacentral:rRNA from 1 species
UGGGGAAUCUUGCACAAUGGGGGAAACCCUGAUGCAGCGACGCCGCGUGAGCGAUGAAGGUUUUCGAAUCGUAAAGCUCUGUCCUAUGGGAAGAUAAUGACGGUACCAUGGGAGGAAGCCCCGGCUAACUACGUGCCAGCAGCCGCGGUAAUACGUAGGGGGCGAGCGUUGUCCGGAAUUACUGGGCGUAAAGGGUUCGCAGGCGGCAUGGCAAGUCCGAGGUAAAAGGCGAAGGCUCAACCUUCGUAAGCAUCGGAAACUGUCAAGCUUGAGUGAAGGAGAGGCAGGUGGAAUUCCUAGUGUAGCGGUGGAAUGCGUAGAUAUUAGGAGGAAUACCGGUGGCGAAGGCGACUUGCUGGACUUCAACUGACGCUGAGGAACGAAAGCGUGGGUAGCAAACAGG